CUUCUCUUCCACGGUGGAGGGGAAAUAGCAGCACGAAGAAGGUAGUGUUAGGGCUCGGCGUGUGGAGCGAGCUUCGACUGGAGAAUAUGACGACUGAGCAACUACUGUGCUGUACAUCAGUGGAACGAGGAGGAGAGCCAUUGGAAACACCUUCGAGGCAACAGAAAAGUAAAUGAAUGGUCCAAAAUGGAAAUGUGAAAGGAAAUGGAGGAUGAAUUUGUUUGUGGCUUUUCCAGAUAAACCAGGAUGAGAAGGAAGAAAACAAGGUUGACAGCCUCCUGGUUCAUUGAAAUGACGUGGAAACAACGCUGAUACAACCAGUUUGUGUCCAGUGGGUAUCACAUAUAGUAAGCCCCAGACUGACUGGACGACUCUCAAGUUGAGAAGGUGGUUGACCAUGGAGAUGUCUGAGGACAUUGUUUAUGCCAAUGAAGACGUUAGAGGAAAACAAAGUGUUUCAGGGGACCAUUUUUAUAAUGGAGGAGACAACAUCUAUGAAGACAUUUAUGAAACUCCAGACACCAUCAAGUUUAAUGACUUCACAAACAAGACUGAGGAUGUUACCCCAAGGAGCAGACCAGGAGCUAACCUCUCAGAGUCUGAGCAACCAGAGAAGAGACCUUUAAGAGCUGCAGCAGUGUGUCUGGGGCUGCUGAGUGUUCUCCUACUGUCUGGGAUCAUAGGACUGUACCUCUACUAUGACAGAGUAUAUAACAACUUGACUGAGGACAGGGACCAGUUACAGACUAGUUACAACAACCUGACUGAGGACAGGGACCAGUUACAGACUAGUUACAACAAUCUGACUGAGGAGAGGGACCAGUUACAGACCAGUUACAACAACCUGACUGAGGAGAGGGACCAGUUACAGACCAGUUACAACAAUCUGACUGAGGAGAGAGACCAGUUACAGACUAGUUACAACAACCUGACUGAGGAGAGAGACCAGUUACCGAGGGAGAGAGACCUGUUGGUUUGGAGAGCUGGUAUUUAUUUUUGUUCUGCACUAUAUAUUUAAUUACUCAUUAAUAUCUAGUCCAGUGAAUCGUGAUGUAUAACAUGUGGCAUGUAUUGCUAUUAUUAUUGUUAGUAUUAUUAUUAUUGUUACUGUUAUUAUUAGUGGUAGUAGUAGUAGUAGUAUUGUAAUAAUAAUAAUAAUAAGUAUUAUUAUUGGUGCUCUUUUUAAAAUUAUUAUUGCUAUUAUUAUUAUUUAUGCUAAUUGUAUUAUUGUUAUUAUUGUUAGUAUCAUUAUUUUUUAUUGUGUUGUGAAACAGAGAGAAGCGGUUGUCCUGUUGGGUGGAGGAAGUUUGACUGCAGCUGUUACUUCCUCUCCAUCGUGUCUAAAACCUGGGAGGAGAGCAGACAGGACUGUCUGAAUAGAGGAGGAGACCUGGUGAUCAUCCAAAGCAGAGAGGAACAGGACUACAUAAAGACGUUUAACCUCUACCAGGUGAUGUCCUGGAUUGGUCUGACUGAUGAAGAUAGUGAGGGUCUCUGGACGUGGGUGGACAACACACAGCUAACUACAGCAGAGUACUGGCAUCCUGAUGAACCGAAUGGUGGAAGAGAGGAGAACUGUGGAAUGAUUCAGAUGAAUUAUGAUGCCUGGAAUGACACCUCGUGCUCUGCAGCGCUCCCCUGGAUAUGUGAGAAAUAUGCAUAUUGUUAGGUUCU